rnacentral:lncRNA from 12 species
UGUCUCUGUCCCUCAAAGCUGUCCCCCACCCAAACACCCUUGAAAAGAUAGUCUAGAGCAAAAGGCCAACGGUAUUUCUGCUCCUGAGACUUGUAAAAACAUGAGACUGGUGGAGGACUGUCUCCCAACAUCUGAGAUCCGGCGGGGCCGAGGCCCGGGUCCGCGGGCGGGGGUCGUCACCUGCACCCCGUCAGCUCCGCCCCCCACGCCGUAGGUGGGCCCGGUGACUCCCUCAGCACCACACCCCCCUUCCCGGGUCUCCGCACCAGCGCAGUGCCCGCGCCCCAGUAGACUCUCAAUAAAUCUUUGUCGGAUGGAUGGAUGAAUAAUUGAGACUUUACAGAAUUUCUGCCUUACAGCCUGAAAAUGACUGAAACAUUUUUUUUUUUUUAACCACAAAAGCAAUGACAACUAACAUACGCUGAAUAUUUACCAUGUGCCGUAUGGUCAGUUCUACUGUCAUCAGAGCUGGGUCAACUCCCUCCCUCCGUCUCUCUCUCUCUCUCUCUCUCUUUCAAAUAAGUAAAUAAAAUCUUUAAAAAAAAAAAUCACUUCUAGGAAUUCAUCCAAAGGAAAUCACAGGCCGCGUAAUACCCGAACGUGGGGACUGCCUAAUGGCUCAGUACUGGCACGUGCUUAAGUUCUUAUGAUGCAGCCGUACAACAGACCAUAGUGCAUCCAUUCAAGAUGAUCAGGCGGAAAAAUACACAGCGGCCAGGGGAAGUCAAUAAAACAUCGUGAAGCAAAAUGUUUAUAAAAUGGUUUACAUGUUUACGAUGGUCCCUAUGUGAUCCAAAAAGGUAAAACCUUUUUAAAAACCUAAAAAAAAAGCCAAAUACGAUGGAAAGAAAGAAAGAAAGAAGAAAAAAAAAAAAGAAGAGCCUGGAAUGAAAUACCUGCAAAUGUUAAGCCUGCCAUUGCCCGAGCGGUUCCGAGGGCCUUGUUUUCCGCUGCCUCUUCUGAAGUCAUCCUCUCUCCAGCCCCCUGGCUCCGUGACACCCACCACCCUCUCCCAGGACCGAGGCCACCAUGCUGGGCCAUCUGGUGAAUACGCUGAGGCCCAGCCCGGGAAGCCAUUGACAGGACGGCCUAUGUUACGUCGAUACGAGCGCUUGGAGCAGGUGCCUCCCCCGGGAUGGCCUCCUCGCCCUGUCCAUCCUUGCGGAGCCACCCCGUGGCCCUACAGACCCACGGCCGGCCGUCGUGCAUGAGCUCCUCCUGGCUGGCUCCCCAGGUCGCCCCGAAGUCGUGGCGAGGCCCAGCCCGGCUGCUGUGACCUCUCAGCCCCCAUACCUCCUCCUUCCACUGUCCUCCAGAACUGGGCACCUACCAAACCCCUGUCAGCGCCUGACCUCACCCCUCCCUGACUCAUCUCUCUGCUCCCUCGCCCUACUUCCCCCUUUUCCCAUUACUCCCUCACUCACCUCUGGGUGUCCCAUUGCUGAGGGCCCAGGCCCGUGAUCACACCUGUGGCCCUCAGCAACUUUAACAUUUAUGGAAGACCCACGAUUCCUAAAGCCGAUAAUUCUAGAGUUGGGAGGUGCUCAGAGGGAGGUAGCAGGGAGCCAAUAGACCGCUUGGCCUUGUGCCCGGAGCAAGUGCUGGCCUCCGGGGCCAUGAUUCCUGCUAAGCGAACCCAUGGGGGACAACCCAUAAGCCAGCAUGCCCGCUUAGUGCCGAACACAGAAACCGGGGCUCCCGGACCAGCUCUUGAUUUAUUCCAUCUGUUCCAGCCUGUUAGUCUCCGGCCCGGGCGCUCCCUCUCCGAGGAUUAGAACGCCCGCCUCUGGGGUGCCUGGGUGGCUCUGCGGUCCAGUGUGUGCCUUCCGCUCAGGGCGUGACCCCGGGGUGCCGGGGUCGAGUCCCACGUCGGGCUCCCUGCGUGGAGCCUGCAUCUCCCUCUGCCCGUGUCGCUCUCUCUCUCUCUCUGUGUCUCUCAUGAAUAAAUAAAUAAAAUCUUUAAAAAAAAAAAAAAAC